CUAACGGAGUGUCAUCAUUCUGUUUGUAUGUAAGAGUAAUAGUGAAAGAGAUUCUAGUCAUGCCCUACACACUCAAACACACAAACCCUAACACAAAUGUUGUUUGUAUAAAUGUCUGUUCAUAUGCUUAAAUAUACAUUGAUAUAAUAUAAUAAUAGAUAAGAAAACAAUAACGAACGACAAGAAUGUCAAUAUGUUAAUGAAUUAUAUGAAUCAUAAAAGAGAAGACAGAACUCAGUUCGAAAAGACCACAUUUUAAUCUUGUUAAAUAACAUGUACACAGGAGCAUGCAUGGAUGGCAAGAGAUAGUUAAAUAAAACAUAAAUACAUGUGAUCACAUUUUAACUAUCCGCUCACCGGCAUGAAGAUCCACAGCCGGUCAAACAUUACAGCACAACUACAGUUCACCCAUUUGAGUGAUAUUGUUUAGAUUCUAUUCACCUGCAAUACACAUAAUGGUACUAUGCCAAUAUUUAUAAGGGUUCCCCGUUUUGCAUCCAUAGAUCAGCUGUAGAUUAAUAAAGUUCUCGACAGUAUGACAUUAUUUUUUCUGGAAUUUUCACUUUCUUCUAAAUUGUAUUUAUUCACUGUAAUGUCGUUGUUAAGUAACUAAAAUCUCAAAAGGAACCGCAGUCUUGUACAUGUUUAACGUGCCCACACAACCCAACCCAACACUUUUCUCAUCAGACAGUAUGAAAUAAUAUAUUUUUAGAAUUGCUUUACAAACCAUGUUGAAUAUCUUAAUGAUUGAUUUUGAUUGUUUUCUUUCAAUUACCCGACCUGUUACACACUUUAUUGAACCGUCUAAAGCAAUCUCAAUGCAUGACCAUCCAGAUGCUUUAGAGAUGUUUGGGCAGAGCCACGUAGAUAAAAAAUUAUGUUUAUUUUACACAUGUGCAUAACAGGGAUAACCAUACUGAGUGACCAAAUGACACCCAGUAUUAUGGAGUCAAUUCCCAACUAUUAAACACUGUCCAAAUCCAGACAGUAUUCAAUUUCCCAUUGCUAGACACUGUCUAAAUCGUUUCCCACCGUCCAAACCCAGCCUCCUACUCACUGAGGUGGGGAUCACGGGAACCUAUGGUUCCCUAAAGGUAUACAAACUAUACACGCGCGGCCUCAGUGUUGUUCUGCAAACAGCUCACCAAAAAACGAGACUCAAGGUGCGCAAGUACAAACCCAGGUUUCGCAUUUAAAUGUAUUAUUUUUUUAUAAUAGAGUAAUAUUAAAUGUGACAUGUGGUUACAAUCGUACAACAAACAAUGUUGAACACGGAUCAGAACCGCGUGUGAUUCAAGAGGACAUGGCUGACAUCUGAGUCUGCGAUCCGUUGACAAGCCUCACAACCACAUCCACCAUCCUUACACUGUGUGGCUGUUCUCUGAACUACGUGUGGGACAUGUUUUCCUUUCCUUUGUCACGAGGCCAGAGGUGAUCACCCAUUGAUAGUCAGUUCAUCUCAUUAUCGUGUGGUUAAAUAUACCAUCAUCUCAGCAUGUGAUCUCUCUUGCCUUUGUCUAACACCCAAAACAUGUUCGAUACGUUCACCCCCUAUCUGUGGAGAUUAGGGAAAACUAUAUCGCCGUUUGGUCAUCUGGAGAUGAGGUAAGCACAACUUUGCUUCCUUCUCUCUCAGUUUUUGCUCUUUCUUUCUCACCACUGUCCCGAGCACUUUCUCAGUCCAUCGGAGCAGACCAAAGCAAAAUAUUUUUGGAGAUAACGAUUAAGGUUGGACUCCAACAAUAACGUUCUCUAUCAGUGUGGUUUGAAAAUAAACGGACAUCGACUGAGCUAUGCCAUUACAUAGGCUGUGAUUGUAAUAAGUUGGAAAAAAAGGCACAUUUCAAAGUAAUUACUUCAUCCUAUUAGAUCCAUGGAGUGUGUGUUUUGACUCGGUUUGGGCCGUGCUCGGGUCAUACGGUCUCCGUAAAAGUUGUCAAAGAUCGGAUUUUGUUUUCAUACAUUUUUUGAUGUUCUCAUAUCCUCCCCUUCCCGUAUUCUCCCAUCCUCCUCCUCUUUCUUCCCUCACACUCUCCUUCCAGGAAAAGAUUCACAUGCCAACAUGGCUGGAGAGAGGUGAAUGAGGGGUCACCAUGGCAACCUCUGCUUCCUGGCUGGCGUCAAACAAAGGGUAUCCAAGAAUAGGCAUUCCCUCGUCCAUUUACAGACCUGAUUGUUUUUGUGGAACAAAGAGACGGUGAGAGAAUGAAAUUAAAUGAACACUGAGAUCUCGUGAUCAUUUUAUCUAAAUUGACCAUCAAUGGAGAAAGUAUUUGUACAUACAGAGCCAGUUCCCAGUUGCCAAUGAAGAGGUCUCUUAACUUUUCACCUCACAGGUUUCUAUGCGAUCCACCCUGAUCCCUUUCCUUCCUGGUGAAUCCAAUCUGGGUUGUUACUCCAUCCCUCGUCUUUCCUUAACAUUCAUCUCUCUGGCUCCCUUCACUGUUUCUCGAUUGUUCUAUCAACUCAUGUUUGACCUUGCAUAACAAUGUUUAUAUCUUUUCCCAAUUGUAGGUUGAUAGUUCAACAGCUUCUCCCCUAAUUACUUUCUCUCACACUUGCCAAAACACUCCCUGGCUCCCUGUUGAUACCAAACAAGGAAAAUAAAACUACAGGGAAAGCCCAACCCUAUUGAAUGGCAGGCUAUUGCAAGUGCUGUAAGCGAUUGAGUCUAGCCAAUUUAAAAACAAAGACAGACAUCACCUGGCCCUAAUCUGAGCCCAUUAUAUGCUGCAAUUACAUUUGCAUGGUCCUUGUGGUUUCAUGGUGAUGUUUGGUCAGUCUCCCUAUUUCAGUGUAAUGGUAAACCAUGCUCAGUUCUCCCCCACAUCGCUAAACUCCCUGUGAGGCAAAGCAAAGCAUUUCUUUCUCAGUGCCGGGGGGACAUAGGAGUUCAAGACACAGAGGAUGUAAAAGCUGAUCCUGUAUAUGAACUAUGAACCCGUUAAAAUGAGGCAGUUUUCACAGUACUCAGAACAGUGGGGCAUGAAAGUUGACCUCCUCCAUUGUUUCGUCUGAUGCCAGUGGAAAAGUACAAUACACAGAAUGAUUGUGAGAAAUGUUGUACAGUAGAUGAUAAUGGAAAGCAGUGUGAGGUAAGGUUGCCGUGGACAUUGACCGUAGGUCAAUGUUUGUCAUUUUAGCAAUUGGUUAAAUGGAUUUUUCAAAUACAGACUCAUAAGAAAUGCGCAAGCAAAACACAAGCAAAAGCUGUUUAGGAUCAGUCAUGCAAAAUCCAUGUUUCUUUGAUUUCUGCUAUCAAGUGUUUAUAACCUCAGAAAUGGACAGCUAAUCAUGUUUCCCAUUUCACUUUACCAAAUAAGAGCAAAGAGUAGGGGGUUCGUAAGUAUUUCUUGCCUUUCUGUCAAACAUAAUAAAUGUUAAAAUGCAUUAAAAGGGACUGCUUCCCUCACUGAAAUAGCAGUACAAGAGGAACCAGGGUAAAGGUAAUCCCCUGGUCAGUCUUUAAACGAAAGUCAAAACCCGUCUUGCUGGGAAAAACGCCUCCUCCACCACUGUGCUUUUAAAGGGUGCAUGUGAAGAAAUGAUUGUAUAUAUAUACAGAGGUGAUACGGAUCGCGAAGGUUGGAAAACCAGUUAAAAAAAACUGUAAUUCCAUUGUCAGAAAUGCGGUGGUUCAAAAUGGCUGUGCGGAGAAAGCAUGUUCACUGUAAAUAUGUCAAAAGUUAUAAAAUCUAUAGCCACACAAUAUUAUUAUUAAAGCAACACAAUGAUCAUCCAUCAGGUUUUAAACAAUUACGUGUAUAAUAAAAGGAGGUGUCAAGCAAGGGUUACCAUAGUUCUCAAGCAUGCACAGUGUUUUCUUGUUCCUCCUUUUCAGUGAAUGAAACGGAAAACGUUGUCCUCUUGGCUGACAGUGGUAUUGGUAAUGAUAGUGAAAAAAUGAAAUGGCUGGCCCCUUUUCAUUUCCAUCCUCUCCUGUGUGUGGAAACAUCAUUGGAGUGGAAGGGAGCAGAGUAGAACUUAAUUACCAAAUGGUUGCUGUGGUUAUCCUUGUAAGGUUAGGGUGCAAGAUGGAAGGCUGGGAGUCCAUUAUCAUCAUCAUCAUCAUCAUCAUCAUCAUCAUCCUCACCAUCAUCAUCAUCUCCAUUAUCUCCAAAGAUGACUUUCAACCACAAUCUCUAACAGUACAGUUUUUGAAAACAAAAAACAGCAGCUUCUCUUUCUGCUGUCCUUGCACGUAGAUCCAGAAAAACACAAAACCCCAAAUGAACGAUAACAAUAAAACCAAGCUAUGUGUGCACAUGCUAUUUUCUAUUCACGAGAGCCUGUUCCAGAGGGAGUCCUGUUUGGUGAGGAAUCAUCAGGCCCACGGACAGGCCUGGCGGACAGUCUUCAACAAAGUUCAAUGAUUACAUGUCACAUUCCUGUCCCACCCCUCUCUUCCAAUAUCCAAGUGCUCGACGUUUCAAAGGACGAGGCGGCCAACAAAUCCUCCAUCACCCAUCCCUCCUCCUCG
ensembl:lncRNA